CAGGGGGGUCGCGGCACAGUGGUGACGUGGCAUAGUUGGAUCAAGUAUAAUGAUAUCUGAUAGUGAUUAAAAUCACUAUAAAAAAUAAACGCUUCGAUGCAAAUCUUUAGAUAGUGUUUAAUUUUAAAAAAAUUGGUGUUUUAUUCCAAAAGCUACUUGAUCUGCUGGUUCCUUAUUAAUAUCUCGAUUAAGAUAAAGUAUGUCGAAUGAAAAAGGGUUUAUUAAAAAAUAUUAUUUCUCAUAAAAAAAUUGUGUGGAUCCAUAAACUUUUCAAUAAGUUAUAGCAUUAUAAAGUUAAAUGUAAUAUAAAUAAUAAAAUCGAAAACUUUCACACAAAAAUAGCAUUCGGUAGCCGUUUUCACCAUGAAGACAAGUUCAGAGGUCAAAUUUUUUUUUUUCAAAUUAAAGUAUAUUACAUUAGCUUUAAUUUAAGAUAUAUAUAAAAGUGUCAGACCUUCCGGAACACUUUCAAAAGUUAAGUUGAAAAAGUUCUACUUUCUAUAUGCAUUUUUUAUAUUUGAAGCCCCCCCAUAUAUAGGGAAAUAGUCUGAUUUAAAAAAAAAGUAUAUCCAAUGAAAGAUGUAUAUAAAUACUACUUCUCAUGAAAAAAUUGUAUUGAUCCAUACAUUUUUUAAAAAGUUAUAGCACUUUAAAGUAAAAAAUGUAAAUUAUAAAAUCGAGAA